GCAAGGAAUUUUCGGCAAUGGGGCAAGCCCUGACGCGAGCAACGCCGCGUGCGGGAUGACGGCCUUCGGGUUGUAAACCGCUUUUCGGGGGGACGACUACGACGGUACCCCCGGAAGAAGCCCCGGNUAACUCUGUGCCAGCAGCCGCGGUAAGACAGAGGGGGCGAGCGUUGUCCGGAGUUACUGGGCGUAAAGNGCGCGCAGGCGGUGGGCUCAGUGUUGUGUGAAAGCCCCCGGCUCAACCGGGGGAGGUCAUGGCAAACUAGACGACUAGAGCGGCGGAGAGGCCCCUCGAAUUGCCGGUGUAGCGGUGAAAUGCGUAGAGAUCGGCAGGAACACCAAGGGGGAAGCCAGGGGGCUGGCCNNUGGCUGACGCUGAGGCGCGACAGCGUGGGGAGCAAACCGGAUUAUGAUACCCGGGUAGUCCACGCCGUAAACGAUGACCACUCGGCGUGUGGCGACUAUUGACGUCGCGGCGCGCCUAACUUUACGCGUGAAGNGGUCCNGCCUGGGAACUACACCGCAAGCUUA
rnacentral:rRNA from 1 species